AAGGAGUAUGCUGAUCUGAUAGAGCCUGUUGAAAAGAGGAUGCAAAAUGUACAUGAUUACAUAAAGUCGAUCAAGCCUGAGUUAAAUGUCUACAUCGAGCCCAUCACGGAUCCAUAUGGUCCAUCCAUUGUCGAUGAGAAUCUGGAAGCCAUCAUAGUCAGUAAGGAGACUCUACCAGGAGGGCUCGCAGUCAAUAGGAAAAGAGCCGAGCGA
rnacentral:misc_RNA from 1 species